CGUUCCAAGAGUGUUACGUCGUUACCGCUUUCUUCCGGCGAGAGCCCUCGACAAGAGUGUCUCUCGGUACUCGUCGGCUUGUGCCACAGACGGAGAAGGAACAGGAAAGGAACAUCGGAGAAAAAUGUCUGGUGGUGAAUAUACAAAGAGGCAGACAGUAGAAGAAGAAGAAAGAGAGAGAGAGAGAGAGAGAGAGGAGAAGACGGCAGAUAGAGAAAAAAGACAAACGGGAGGAACAGGAUCAGAGAAAGAGAGAGAGAGAGAGAGAGAGAGAGAGAAAGCGCGUGGAGAAAACUGUGCGUGUAUUAUAUCGUAUACCUUUAAUUUAUAUUUUCGAAUUUAUGCUCGGAAGUUACAAGAUAUAAAAUACCCUUGAGAUACGAACGUAAUUAUCGGCAACCCCCGUGGCUUGUAAUAUCGGGUCAAUAAAGAUAUUUCGGCGUACGUAUAAUGGUACAGAGUCAAUAUAACGGAGGAUUGUAUUUGUAAGGAAGAUUCGCUUUGAAGUAUCGAAGUGGAGGUUCAACUUGUAAGAUCAAAAAUUGCUAACUAUACGAUAUACGCAUACUUGGAUAUGGUAUUUUAAUGUCCAUUUUAUGUGCAGUAUUAAAAUCAUGACUAAGUAACGUACGUAAGUAAUAAAAGAUCGUACGACAAAGAGUUCAGCAUUAACUUACGAUAUAGUGAGAAUCUCGACAGCGAACUAUUAUUAAAUCUUCAAUUAGUGCAAAGAAAAAGAGCAUUAGGUACUAUUUUGAUACGAAUGCUAUGAUGUACAUAGAAAAUGAUAUAUUUAAAUGGUUGCUUAAUAAGAAAAAAGAUGUCGAAAUGGAUGACGUUUAACCUUCUUAGAGCACACUUUGCAAGCGAGAAAUACCUUUAUGACGUAAGGAGCAGUAUCUUCCUCAAAGAUAAACUCAUCAAAACUUAUUGAAACUUUCACUCCGCGCGACAUAUUUGCAGAUAAAUGCUGUUCAAAGUAAAGCUUAUACCAAUGAUUCGAUAAGAUGGCAGAAGGAGAAUUCUUUUACUUUAAACCCGUCUAAUUUAUCCCUUCCUCUGUUUGAAGAUUUUUCUAAAGCUGGCUGUAUUGAAAAAAUGGCAUAUAUAUUUAUAUAUCAUUCGUAAAAUUCAAUUAUGUUCCACGCAUAGUUUUAGGUUCCGAGAGCAUCAUGCAUAAGUCAGGUAAUAUCAAACGAAAACAGAUGCAAGUAAACUUAUGUACUAAAAUUCGGUGAAAGUUUCUAAAGAAUAUCUUUGUUUCCAUUUGGUAUUGAUACAUCGAAUGUAGCAUAAGCACUAAACGGUCUUUAAAUUCGUAUCGUAAACGAUAUACAGAAAUACAAGAAAGCUAAUAUAA